AUUGAACGCUGGCGGCAUGCUUUACACAUGCAAGUCGAACGGUAACAGGCCGCAAGGUGCUGACGAGUGGCGAACGGGUGAGUAAUGCAUCGGAACGUGCCCAGUCGUGGGGGAUAACGCAGCGAAAGCUGCGCUAAUACCGCAUACGAUCUAUGGAUGAAAGCGGGGGACCGUAAGGCCUCGCGCGAUUGGAGCGGCCGAUGUCAGAUUAGGUAGUUGGUGGGGUAAAGGCUCACCAAGCCAACGACCUGUAGCUGGUCUGAGAGGACGACCAGCCACACUGGGACUGAGACACGGCCCAGACUACUACGGGAGGCAGCAGUGGGGAAUUUUGGACAAUGGGCGCAAGCCUGAUCCAGCAAUGCCGCGUGCAGGAAGAAGGCCUUCGGGUUGUAAACUGCUUUUGUACGGAACGAAAAAGCUCUGGUUAAUACCUGGGGCUCAUGACGGUACCGUAAGAAUAAGCACCGGCUAACUACGUGCCAGCCGCCGCCGCGGUAA
rnacentral:rRNA from 1 species